UUGCAGUGAUGACUCUUUAGGACACCUUUGAAUGAACCAUGAAAAGAACGUGAGAAUGUCUGAGCGAU
ensembl:snoRNA SNORD58 Small nucleolar RNA SNORD58